rnacentral:rRNA from 1 species
GACGAACGCUGGCGGCGUGCUUAACACAUGCAAGUCGAACGGAAAGGCCCUGCUUUUGUGGGGUGCUCGUGUGGCGAACGGGGGAGUAACACGUGAGUAACCUGCCCUUGUCUUUGGGAUAACUUCAGGAGACUGGGGCUAAUACCGGAUAGGAGCUCCUGCUGCAUGUUGUGGGUUGGAGAGUUUCGGCGGUUGGGGAUGGACUCGCUGCUUAUCCGCUUGUUGGUGUGGUAGUGGCUUACCAAGGCUUUGACGGGUAGCCGGCCUGGGAGCGUGACCGGCCACAUUGGGACUGCGAGACGGACCAGACUCCUACGGGAGGCAGCAGUCGGGAAUAUUGCACAAUGGGCGGAAGCCUGAUGCAGCGACGCCGCGUGCGGGAUGACGGCCUUCGGGUUGUAAACAGCUUUCGCCUGUGACGAAGAGUGAGUGACGGUAAUGGGUAAAGAAGCACCGGCUAACUACGUG